AGUGAACGCUGGCGGUAGGCCUAACACAUGCAAGUCGAACGGCAGCACAGUAAGAGCUUGCUCUUACGGGUGGCGAGUGGCGGACGGGUGAGGAAUACAUCGGAAUCUACUUUUUCGUGGGGGAUAACGUAGGGAAACUUACGCUAAUACCGCAUACGACCUACGGGUGAAAGCAGGGGAUCUUCGGACCUUGCGCGAUUGAAUGAGCCGAUGUCGGAUUAGCUAGUUGGCGGGGUAAAGGCCCACCAAGGCGACGAUCCGUAGCUGGUCUGAGAGGAUGAUCGGCCGCACUGGAACUGGGACACGGUCCAGGGUACUGAGGGAGGCAGCAGUGGGGAAUAUUGGACAACAGGCGCAAACCUUGUCCAGCCAUACCGAGUGGGUGAAGAAGGCCUUGGGGUUGUAAUGACCUUUUGUUGGGAAAGAAAAGCUGCAGGUUAAUACCCAGCUGUUCUGACGGUACCCAAAGAAUAAGCACCGGCUAACUACGUG
rnacentral:rRNA from 1 species